rnacentral:rRNA from 1 species
GGCGAGUGGCGAACGGGUGAGUAACAUAUCGGAACGUACCGAGCAGUGGGGGAUAACUAAUCGAAAGAUUAGCUAAUACCGCAUAUAUUCUGAGGAAGAAAGCAGGGGACCAUUUGGCCUUGCGCUGUUUGAGCGGCCGAUAUCUGAUUAGCUGGUUGGUGGGGUAAAGGCCUACCAAGGCGACGAUCAGUAGCGGGUCUGAGAGGAUGAUCCGCCACACUGGGACUGAGACACGGCCCAGACUCCUACGGGAGGCAGCAGUGGGGAAUUUUGGACAAUGGGCGCAAGCCUGAUCCAGCCAUGCCGCGUGUCUGAAGAAGGCCUUCGGGUUGUAAAGGACUUUUGUCAGGGAAGAAAAGGGCGGGGUUAAUACCCCUGUCUGAUGACGGUACCUGAAGAAUAAGCACCGGCUAACUACGUGCCAGCAGCCGCGGUAAUACGUAGGGUGCGAGCGUUAAUCGGAAUUACUGGGCGUAAAGCGGGCGCAGACGGUUACUUAAGCAGGAUGUGAAAUCCCCGGGCUCAACCUGGGAACUGCGUUCUGAACUGGGUGACUAGAGUGUGUCAGAGGGAGGUAGAAUUCCACGUGUAGCAGUGAAAUGCGUAGAGAUGUGGAGGAAUACCGAUGGCGAAGGCAGCCUCCUGGGAUAACACUGACGUUCAUGCCCGAAAGCGUGGGUAGCAAACAGGAUUAGAUACCCUGGUAGUCCACGCCCUAAACGAUGUCGAUUAGCUGUUGGGCAGCAUGACUGCUUAGUAGCGAAGCUAACGCGUGAAAUCGACCGCCUGGGGAGUACGGUCGCAAGAUUAAAACUCAAAGGAAUUGACGGGGACCCGCACAAGCGGUGGAUGAUGUGGAUUAAUUCGAUGCAACGCGAAGAACCUUACCUGGUCUUGACAUGUACGGAACCCUCCAGAGACGGAGGGGUGCCUUCGGGAGCCGUAACACAGGUGCUGCAUGGCUGUCGUCAGCUCGUGUCGUGAGAUGUUGGGUUAAGUCCCGCAACGAGCGCAACCCUUGUCAUUAGUUGCCAUCAUUAAGUUGGGCACUCUAAUGAGACUGCCGGUGACAAGCCGGAGGAAGG